rnacentral:rRNA from 1 species
UACGAAGGGGGCUAGCGUUGCUCGGAAUCACUGGGCGUAAAGGGUGCGUAGGCGGUUCUUUAAGUCAGGGGUGAAAUCCUGGAGCUCAACUCCAGAACUGCCUUUGAUACUGAAGAUCUUGAGUUCGGGAGAGGUGAGUGGAACUGCGAGUGUAGAGGUGAAAUUCGUAGAUAUUCGCAAGAACACCAGUGGCGAAGGCAGCUCACUGGCCCGAUACUGACGCUGAGGCACGAAAGCGUGGGGAGCAAACAGG